rnacentral:rRNA from 1 species
GGCUACACAUGCAGUCGAGGGGUAACAGAUCUUCGGAUGCUGACGACCGGCGAACGGGUGAGUAACACGUAUGCAACUUACCCAUAACUCGGGAAUAGCCCAAAGAAAUUUGGAUUAAUACCCAAUAAUACAGGCGUACCGCAUGGUAUUCUUCGUUAAAGAAUAAUCGGUUAUGGAUAGGCAUGCGUUCUAUUAGGUAGUUGGUGAGGUAACGGCUCACCAAGCCGACGAUGGAUAGGGGAACUGAGAGGUUGUCCCCCCACACUGGUACUGAGACACGGACCAGACUCCUACGGGAGGCAGCAGUGAGGAAUAUUGGUCAAUGGACGAAAGUCUGAACCAGCCAAAUCGCGUGAAGGAAGAAGGUAUUAUGUAUCGUAAACUUCUUUUGUAAGAGAGUAAAGUGCACUACGUGUAGUGUAUUGCAAGUACCUUACGAAUAAGCAUCGGCUAAUUCCGUGCCAGCAGCCGCGGUAAUACGGAAGAUGCAAGUGUUAUCCGGAUUUAUUGGGUUUAAAGGGUGCGUAGGUGGUCUAAUAAGUCAGUGGUGAAAUCUCUUUGCUUAACAAGGAAAUUGCCAUUGAAACUGUUAGACUUGAGAAUGGACGAGGUAGGCGGAAUUCGUAGUGUAGCGGUGAAAUGCAUAGAUAUUACGAAGAACUCCAAUAGUGUAGACUGCUUACCAGACCAUAUCUGACACUAAGGCACGAAAGUGUGGGUAUCAAACAGGAUUAGAUACCCUGGUAGUCCACACAGUAAACGAUGAAUACUAACUGUUUGCGAUAUACAGCAAGUGGUCGAGCGAAAGCGUUAAGUAUUCCACCUGGGAGUAUGCCGGCACGGUGAAACUCAAGGAUGACGGGGCCCGCACAGCGAGACAUGUGUUAUCGAUAAUACGCGAGACUACCCGGCUCGACGAUAUUUGAAUACAUCGAAAGAUGUAGC